CCUACGGGAGGCUGCAGUGGGGAAUAUUGGACAAUGGGCGAAAGCCUGAUCCAGCCAUGCCGCGUGUGUGAAGAAGGCCUUCGGGUUGUAAAGCACUUUCAGUGGGGAAGAAAGCCUUGGGGCUAAUACCCUCGAGGAAGGACAUCACCCACAGAAGAAGCACCGGCUAACUCCGUGCCAGCAGCCGCGGUAAUACGGAGGGUGCGAGCGUUAAUCGGAAUUACUGGGCGUAAAGCGCGCGUAGGCGGUCUGAUAAGCCGGUUGUGAAAGCCCCGGGCUCAACCUGGGAACGGCAUCCGGAACUGGCAGGCUAGAGUGCAGGAGAGGAAGGCAGAAUUCCCGGUGUAGCGGUGAAAUGCGUAGAGAUCGGGAGGAAUACCAGUGGCGAAGGCGGCCUUCUGGACUGACACUGACGCUGAGGUGCGAAAGCGUGGGUAGCAAACAGGAUUAGAUACCCUGGUAGUC
rnacentral:rRNA from 1 species